AGAGAGAGACAUGCGCGCAUAUCAAUAAGCGGAGGAAAAGAAACUAACUAGGAUUCCCUCAGUAACGGCGAGUGAAGCGGGAAGAGCUCAAAUUUGAAAUCUUCAAGGUUCUACCUUGACGAAUUGUAGUUUAAAGAAGUGUUUUCUGUUGGAGUUUUGGUAAGAGUUCUUUGGAAUAGGACAUCAUAGAGGGUGAGAAUCCCGUAUUUGACCAUUAUUUCCAGCUUUGUGAUACACUUUCAAAGAGUCGGAUUGUUUGGGAAUGCAGUCCAAAAUGGGUGGUAAAUUUCAUCUAAAGCUAAAUACUGGCGAGAGACCGAUAGCGAACAAGUACCGUGAGGGAAAGGAUGAAAAGAACUUUGAAAAGAGAGUUAAACAGUACGUGAAAUUGUCAAAAGGGAAGCGUUUGACACCAGUGUUGUUUUCUCGAAAAUCAAUUAAAAAGAGUCAGGAUUUUGUGUUGUAUUGACCUUAAUCAGCUUCUGCACUUCAAUUUUCUUGUCUUUUUUUAAUGCACUUUUCGUUUAACAAGUCAACAUCAGUUUCUUUUGUUGUAAAAGGGUCAUUGGAAGGUGGCUUUCUUUUCGGAGAAAGUGUUUAUAGCCUUUGACUCCUGCAAUCGGAGAGACUGAGGUCUGCAGCGUAGAUCCUUCGGGGUUAGAUACAUUUGUGCUAAGUUAUAGCCUUUUCAUAGACAACUUGUUGACUAUGAUCAGUCAUGUAGCUUACUCGCUUAUGCUAUUUUACCUACGCUUAGGAUGUUGAUGUGAUACUGCGAGCA
rnacentral:rRNA from 1 species